UGGAGGGCGUUUUCACGUGUACGACCCGAGGAUGGGGCCCUGCUUCAAGGCACCCAGGCGUGUCCCGCUCGCCUGAACUCCCUGGGAGGGCGUCGGAAGAAAACACGUGUAUGCCCGAACGUGGAGGUGAAGGAAGCACGUGUGUGUGUGUGUCCCGGCCUCCCCUUUGGUUCGAGGAGCAGCGUGGUUAACCUACGGAACUCCCUCCCCCAGAAGUGGCUUGAAAAGCCUUUUUGUUAGGCAUUUGUUGUUGUUUAGUCUUGUCCGCCUCUUCGUGACCCCCUGGACCAGAGCACGCCCGGCACUCCUGUCUUCCACUGCCUCCCGCAGUUUGGUCAAACUCAUGCUGGUCGCUUCGAGAACACUAUCCAACCAUCUCGUCCUCUGUCAUCCCCUUCUCCUUGUGCCUCCAUCUUCCCAACAUCAGGGUCUUUCCAGAGUCUUCUCUCAUGAGGUGGCCAAAGUCUUGGAGCCUCAGCUUCAGGAUCUGUCCUUCCAGGGAGCACUCAGGGCUGAUUUCCUUCAGAAUGGAGAGGUUUGAUCUUCUUGCAGUCCAUGGGACUCUCAAGAGUCUCCUCCAGCACCAGAAUUCAAAAGCAUCCAUUCUUCGGCGAUCAGCCUUCUUGAUGGUCCAGCUCUCACUUCCAUACAUCACUACUGGGAUAACCAUGGCUUUAACUAUACGGACCUUUGUUGGCAAGGUGAUGUCUCUGCCUUUUAAGAUGCUGUCUAGGUUUGCCAUCGCCUUUCUCCCAAGAAGCAGGCGUCUUUUAAUUUCGCAACUGCUGUCACCAUCUACAAUGAUCAUGGAGCCCAAGAAAGUAAAAUCUCUCACUGCCUCCAUUUCUUCCCCUUCUAUUUGCCAGGAGGUGAUGGAACCAGUGGCCAUGAUCUUCGUUUUUUGAUGUUGAGCUUCAGACCAUAUUUUGCGCUCUCCUCUUUCACUCUCAUUAAAAGGUUCUUUAAUUCCUCCUCACUUUCUGCCAUCAAGGUUGUGUCAUCUGCAUAUCUUAGGUUGUUGAUAUUUCUUCCGGCGAUCUUAAUCUAGGGAUUCAUCCAGCCCAGCCUUUCGCAUGAUGAAUUCUGCAUAUAAGUUAAAUAAGCAGGGAGACAAUAUACAAAAAACAUGGAAAUGUAACUCAAUUCUUACAAAGCUUGACUGGCAGGUGAAGAUGGUGGAAAAUGUGGAACUUGCGAAAAUGACUGGGAGAAUAAGAGGAAACUCAAAACCAGAAAGUGUGUAAAGAAUGGAUAACAUUUACCAGUAAAUAUCUAAAGCAAUAUUGUGAAAAUGUAAAUCUUUGGAUUCUAGAUUGAAUCUUGAAUAUUCAGGAAAACUAUAAACGUUGGAAUUUUUCUGGAUAUGUGACAAAUAUAA
rnacentral:lncRNA from 1 species